UACGUAGGGUGCGAGCGUUAAUCGGAAUUACUGGGCGUAAAGCGUGCGCAGGCGGUUAUGUAAGACAGAUGUGAAAUCCCCGGGCUCAACCUGGGAACUGCAUUUGUGACUGCAUCGCUGGAGUGCGGCAGAGGGGGAUGGAAUUCCGCGUGUAGCAGUGAAAUGCGUAGAUAUGCGGAGGAACACCGAUGGCGAAGGCAAUCCCCUGGGCCUGUACUGACGCUCAUGCACGAAAGCGUGGGGAGCAAACAGG
rnacentral:rRNA from 1 species